UUGGGGGCGGCCUAAUGGUUAGGGAAUAGGGUUUGGGUCUGGAAGGUCCAUGGUUCUAAUCCAUGGUUCUAAU